CGCCCCGGUCGGACCGGCGCUCCCCAAGAACAACCCACCGGGGAAAAAGCACCCCACCAAGCCCCACCCCUCCCUCCCGCGGGGCAGCGUCACUCCGGCGAGUGAAUAUGCCCAACUGGGCUGGAUUCGCACCCGGUUGCGUGCCCUACGCUCAGCGCCAGCAGCACGCGACAACUCCAGACAUGCGACGGCCCUCGCCGGGACUGCCAUCCCACUGCGAGGGCCUGACCACCGAGGAAGGAAACAGCUUCCCG
rnacentral:ncRNA from 1 species